CCCCUCGCCAAUCGGAUUCGUAACGUCGCGCGCUCCCAACGGCGCUAGUCUGACGUUUUCCGUUACAAUCGAGUGGACGGGAGAUCGUGGGCGAUCGUGGUCAACGGUCAACGGUCAACGGUAGCGAUCUCGCAGUUUAUUUCGUACGUAGCGCGCGCGCGCGCGUUCUCCCGAUUACGGCGAGCUUCGGAGCAUCGGCAACUACGACGAUUCCCUUCUUUCGCGAGCGAUCGACGACGACGACGACGACGAGGACGACCGUCGCACCACCGUUCGCCCUUUCAUCUGUAUGCCUCGCGUACGCCCCCACCGUCACCGAUUUUCCAUGAAUGUUAAUAUUGUCUUCCUAGAGCCACUGGUAAUGCAAAUAUUCUUCCUUGAUCUGAAAUCUGCAAGAUGGUUUUCGUCAUCCAGUUCCAAUUUUAGCUGAGAGUAAUAUAGAAAUGUGAGCAGUGACUGCAUAUUCACAAAUGGCACAGAGCAUUCACUUUUACAUCAUUUAUGAAUAAAGCGAAACGAAAUCGGUCCAGCUUGGUGGUAAUGCGGGGAUGUGGAUCUGCUUCGACCCAACAGAAAGCCGAGUAGGCUGGGGUACUUCCAUUUCAUUUGUUGUGCUUCUGUACUGGACCUCCAUUACCAUCGAUGCCAGUUUAACAAAUGCAGCCGCGUCCAAUGUCCCACAUAGUACCGUCACGUCGGAGGUAUCGCUACCAGCGUCGGCACACCACGAUAACGACGAAUGCAGGAAUGUGACCACUGACAAUAGAGAGGGUACUGGACUGUCAGUGGUCAGCCAUGGAUCCGGUUAUCCUCAUUCGCCGAUAGUGCCUCCAACUUUUCUGUACGGAGCUCUUACCUGCCAACCCUAUCAAGGAAUUUACGUGAACCACAUCUACUUUCAACUCGCAAAUGCCUUCUUCCUAUUGUCUCACCUUGCACCAAGCGGCAUACAUGGUGUACUCUAUUUAAGGUGCACUCUACUCGUGGGCUGUGCCUUUCUUGCUUUGUGGGGCUGGACAAUAGCUUGCUGGCUGGAUGCUGCUCUCUGGAAUGCUCUCUUUGUUGCCAUCAACUUCGUCCAUGUAUGCACGCUUCUUUACAAGCUCAGGCCUAUCAAGUUUACCAGGGAAAUUGAAGAGGUAUACAUUGCAGUGUUCCAGCCACUACGGGUUUCUCGUCAUCAAUUCAAAAAAGUAUUAAAUUGCAUGAAGGUCAUUCGCCAGUUGAAGUAUCAAGAGGUUUAUGCACAAGAAAAAGUGACCAAAGUCGAUUCUUUAUCAUUGGUGCUGUCGGGAAAAUUAGUUGUCUCACAAAGUGGGAGAGCAUUGCAUAUUGUCUUCCCACAUCAGUUCCUGGAUUCUCCAGAAUGGUUUGGUGUUUCGACAGACGAAUAUUUCCAGGUAUCCAUAACAGCUAUGGAAGAAUCGAGAAUAUUAUUAUGGCAUAGGGACAAACUAAAAUUAAGCAUAAUUAGCGAUCAAUUCCUGCAGGCAGUGUUUGAUCACAUCCUGGGAAGAGAUGUAGUUAAGAAAUUGAUGCAGGUCAGUGAAACAAUGGCUGCUAGCAAUCAUCAGCAGCAAAAUGGACAGAUAAUUGGUCUGGGUGGAAUAGGAGCCUUAGAAAAUGAUGCUGAUACGAAACUUUUUGUUGUAAAAAAGACUGGUGACAGUCAAGGCAUUACUGCUCUCAUUAGUCGUCAACUUCAAGAAGAGAGAAUGCCACUACUAUACACGAGCCAAGAAGUAUUGAAUAAUACCUUACACCAUACAAAUCCUUUACGUGUACCAUCCUAUACACUCCCUUCACAUCCUAUGUCGUACAAUGUUCAGACUUCACUGUAAUAUCCUUGCCUACCAAUUGUGCAAUCUAGCACAAAUCGUGUGCUGUACAUGUUAUGUUCCUGCAAUGGAUGCGUAUACAUUAUACAAAUGUCAAAGAGUAACAUCAUUUAUUAUUCUUCCUGGAUAUCAUAUUAAAAGCGGCAGGAGAUCCAAAUGCUUGGAGAUUGGGAAGAAUUGAAGAGACUGAUCAUGAAACACCUGUUUAAUGGAAGGAUUAUCAAAUCGAUGUCAUCCUCGACAGUCAAUA